GAUAGAUACCCAGGUUUAGCCUAAAUAGGGCUACUUUAAAAAAGUCAUCACACCUAAAAGCACUUUAUUGCUUUUAGCUCUGUG
rnacentral:sRNA from 27 species